rnacentral:tRNA from 1 species
GGCUGGGUAGCAAAUUGGUUAUGCAUCGGCCUGCAAAGCUGCGGAGACCGGUUCGAUUCCGGUCCCAGCCUCCA